rnacentral:rRNA from 1 species
GACAGAGGGUGCAAACGUUGCUCGGAAUCACUGGGCGUAAAGGGCGUGUAGGCGGGGUAGGCAAGUCGGGCGUGAAAUCCCUGAGCUCAACUCAGGAACUGCACUCGAAACUGCUUAUCUUGAGUGCCGGAGAGGAAAGCGGAAUACCUGGUGUAGAGGUGAAAUUCGUAGAUAUCAGGUGGAACACCAGUGGCGAAGGCGGCUUUCUGGACGGUAACUGACGCUGAGACGCGAAAGCGUGGGGAGCAAACAGG